AUAGAUAGAUAAUACGAAUGCAGCACCAGAUGAAUAUGUGAUGUAUGAAGAUUAAAAUAAUAUAAAAACUGUAUUUAAAUUGGAAUUAUUUUGAAUAUGAUACAAAUAAAAGUGUAAAUAAGAUAUCGAAAUCAAAUUAUCUAUAAAUUCAUGAAGUGAUCUUACAAUUCAACAAAGAAUAAGAAGUAAACGACGAAGUUUAUAUAUAAAAACAGCAUUGUAGGUUACGUUUCCAUUUACAAUGGCACAGUCAACAGCUAGUGGAACGUCUUCUCGACGUUAUAUGAGAGAACAUGAUGUUAAUGUACCAUCCUCAUCACGUUAUGUGGAUAGUGACUGGGAAACCAAAGAGGCUCUACGACAAAGAGAGCUGGAAGAAGCUCGUGCACGAGCAGCUCAAAUGGAGAAAACAAUGAGGUGGUGGUCAGAUUGUACUGCUAAUUGGCGUGAAAAGUGGAGUAAAGUACGCAAUGAGAGGAAUGUGGCAAGAGAAGAGGCAAAGAUGCUUAGAGCAAAGUUAGAGAUUGCUGUAAAGGAUGCGAGCAGUUAUAAACAUGAGUGUCAGGAAUUGGAAUUACAAAAUGAACAAUUGAAAAAAGAAAUGGAGAAAGUACAUAUGGUACUGUUGAAGCAUGCUGGACAGUUUGACCAACAAAUUUUUACUGUCUUGGAAUCAGAUCCACAAUUAAGAAAUACACUAGGUAUAGAUGAACUUUUAAAAUUUUAUAAUAAUGUAGAACAGAGCGAAAGUGUGAGUUCUCAAAAGGAUUUACUCACAUCUAAAGGUUCAUUUGAGGAAUCUAGUGUAUGCCUAGGAAGUCAUAAUAUUUUACCAGACAGAGAUAUUGAAGAGUAUGUGUUACAAGGGGCAGUACCAAAGCAUGCUGUAGAAUUAUAUAAAGAGAAUUCUAUUAAUUCAUUGGAUAAAGAUAUUGCAAGAUUAGUUACAGAUGUUAGUUCUAUAGAAGAUAAUGUAGAGAAGCAUCAAUCCUUGUCACAAUUAUGUAAUGAUGAAUCUGCUGCACAAAAGAUAUUAAUACUUCAACAUAAAUUGGAGGAAGCAACAAAAACUAUUUUUACAGAAAGAGAAGAGAAGAAUUCUUUACAUCGUGGUAUAGAGAAGUUAAAAGCAGAAUUAAUACAAUUAAAAAAACAAUGCGAUGAAUUAGAAGAAAAUAAAGCCCAAGCUAUGAGGGAAUUACUUAUAUUAAAAGAUCGGUUUCAAAUUGAGCUUAGCGAUGUGCAAGCUGAUUUGAUCGACGAAGCUUCAAGCAGAGAAGGCAUGAAUCGCCGUUUGUCUGAACUUAGAGCUGAAUUGGAGAAGCUUCAAGCUGAAAAUGCCGCAGAAUGGGGGAAACGAGAACGUUUGGAAACAGAUAAAAUUUCAUUGGAACGAGAAAAUAAACAGCUUCGUAAUGAAUUACAUGAUCUACAAGAAAGAAUAGAAUCUCGACGAUCGCGUCCGGUUUCCACAUCUGACAGUGAUACAAGACAGUUACAACAAGAACUUUUGGUUAGAAAUACGAUAUUAAAAAAAUCUUUAGAAGAGAAAACGACAGAGCUCUCACAUGCAAUGAGAAGAUCAGAGCAAUACGAGGCAGAAGUGAAGAGAGUAAGAUCAAGAGUUGAAGAAUUGAAGAAAGAAUUAGCUGCAGCUCAGGAUGAAGUAGAUGCCGCGGCUAAUAGUGUUCGCAAAUUGCAACGGGCGAAUGAAGAUCUUUUAGAGCAAUUAGAAUCUGCUAACGUACAAUUAGAGCACUUCCGAAAUAGUUAAAUUGUAGAAUAAUUACUGACAAUUAAUUUGUUAUCAGUACUGGUUCCUACACAAUAGAUGUAGGGAUAGGAGAAAAUAUCGAAGAAAAAUUACGUACAGACAAUGAUGACAAAUUAUCAGAUGGAUAUGAAUAUCAAGAAGCCUAGUAUACACUCAUAUCAAUAAUAUCAUAUUUGAUUUGAGUGAUAUAUGCGAGUUUGGAAUGUGAAAAGUAGUUUCCUAAAUUUUCCAGUAUGGAUACGCCUGUCGGUUUAGCAGUACUUUUAAUUGUGAAUAGCUAUUAAAGAUGUAGGCAAGAUUAAUUUAUUUUACAGGUGAGCUUGAGUUAUGAAAAAUCACUGCCUAUCUCAGUAUUGUAUUAUUGUUUAAAAUUAUUAGAAUAUUUUUCUAGAUUUGUAUUACUUUUUUUUUAUUUUACUGUAUAUACUUAUCUUUUUGUACUCUUUCUUUUACUUCGAAAAUGUUUUUUAUAUAUCUGCAUUUGUGAAAAGUUCACAUUCCAAUAUAUAUUAUUUUUUAAAUAUUUUUAUUGCAUGUAUAUAAACACUGUAUAUAUACGUAAAUGAUAUAUGUAAUUAUAAAUUUUGCCUCUUACCUAAAGACUGGUGAAAUUGGAAAAUGUGUGAUGAUCUGUACCAUCUACGAUACCUGAUAUUUAUAAUUACAAUUCCCAUGAUGUCACAAAUCUAUAUGUAAAAUAAGUAAAACAUUUGUGCGCGUAUCUAUCUAUGUUACGUAGUAACUAUUAUACUAAUUUUAAGUAGAAGAAUUAGUAUUUCAAUUUUCAUUCGUCUAUAGAAAAUUUUACUAGAACAUUCAACAUAAAUGUUUAUCACUUGGUGCAAUUUACAAUUGAAGGAAAAUAGAAAACAGAACUUUUUAUUUGUAUAAUAUGUGUUUUAUUGAUAAAGUAUUUAUGGAUAAAUACUAGUAGCUGAUGUAGCAUUAUUAAAUCGAUAAUGAUGUACAUUCAGUAAAAUUACCUCAAUAAAAAUGAUAUAUAUACUAUGUAUGUAUGUAAGAGACAAUAGGAGUAUGACGUAUAUUCAUAAAGUGUAUGAACGAUCAUAAAUAUUUGUGUUUGUAAUUAAUGCAAAAAAAUAAAAAAGAAGGAUAGUCUAAAUUGUAAUAAAAAAAAAUUGGAGCAAUGUAUGAAAAUCAAAUGAAAAGGAAAGUUUUCCUAAGCAAUAUGAGACUUAAGAA